rnacentral:rRNA from 1 species
GACGAACGCUGGCGGCGUGCUUAACACAUGCAAGUCGAACGGAAAGGCCCUGCUUUUGUGGGGUGCUCGAGUGGCGAACGGGUGAGUAACACGUGAGUAACCUGCCCUUGACUUUGGGAUAACUUCAGGAAACUGGGGCUAAUACCGGAUAGGAGCUCCUGCUGCAUGGUGGGGGUUGGAAAGUUUCGGCGGUUGGGGAUGGACUCGCGGCUUAUCAGCUUGUUGGUGGGGUAGUGGCUUACCAAGGCUUUGACGGGUAGCCGGCCCGAGAGGGUGACCGGCGACAUUGGGACUGAGAUACGGCCCAGACUCCUACGGGAGGCAGCAGUGGGGAAUAAUGCACAAUGGGCGGAAGCCUGAUGCAGCAACGCCGCGUGCGGGAUGACGGCCUUCGGGUUGUAAACCGCUUUCGCCUGUGACGAAGCGUGAGUGACGGUAAUGGGUAAAGAAGCACCGGCUAACUACGUG